UUGAUACCUUCCCCUGCAUCUGGCAUUUUGAGAAUCAUCCAGAAUUUAUUGAAUGCCAUGACGGUGGUUCUAAAUCAGUGGUUCUAAAUUGCAGGGAUUAAGAGACUUUGGCAAGCAGAUUUUUUCCUGUGGGUAUUUAAUAAGUGACCUUUUCAAUUAAGGACAGAAGACAAUCAGUUCCAAACCAAGUACCGCCUAAUGCCAAAGACAUCUUCAAGCAGAGAGGCUUCAACACCACAGAAGACAUCUUCUCACCAGCUUAGGUAGAUAACUCUCUAAACCACCGUGGAGCUUUGGAGGGGAAAACACAUCAGAAGAGGGCAAGAUGGCCCAAGAUAUGACUGAAAAAGAACUCUUAAAGAUGGAAGUAGACCAACUGAAAAAGGAAGCGAAACUCGAAAGACAAAUGGUCUCCAAGACAGCUAAAGAACUCAAGGAUUAUAUAGAAUCCAUGGCUGCUGAAGAUCCUCUCUUAAAAGGUGUCCCAGAAGACAAGAACCCAUUCAAGGAGAAGGGAGGCUGUAUAAUAAGCUGACCCUGGCCUAACCCUGUGAAGAUCUUUGUGGCCCUCUUUGUACAAUACAAGGACUGUAUAGGUUUUAUUUAUGCAUUUAGUAUGAGUACAAAUGAUCUUAGGCAGGGGGAAUGAAUAAACAAACUGGGACUCUUGUUUUUGUGUAACCCUCCUACAGAACAAAAGAAUUUUUUUUGGGGGGGGGGGACUUCAGAGAACAGCAUCCUCAGCUGUUGAAGUCCAGUUUUUAUUUUGUAAAUACACUGCAGUCCCCAAGAACCUUCACCUCAUUUUAAUGGCUGGCUUUAAAAAAAAAAUAGGCUUGGCGUUUGUUUGCGAUAUUAUUUCUUGGCUUUCUUUCUUUUUAAGUAGAUACCAGCUUGAAUAGAAAAGAAGCAGGCAAGGACUUAGCACUGGGUACCGGAUGUGGAGAAAGGAAUGAGCAUACACUGCUAACUUUUCCCAACACAAGCUGCUGGGCCAUGCUGCCUAGCCAGUCUUGAUUGGAAGGCACCCAGCGGUAUACCGCACCUGACAGUGCCUCUGUUGCCCACACCUUCCCCAUAUGCCACUGCUUCUGGAAAAGGAAGAGUCAAGUGGCAUCGUGCAGCAAGGAACUAUUUUUAGUGCCUGGUUCUCAGAGUCCAGGCACAAUAGGAAGCAUCAAGAGCCCUUGCUGCAACUUCAGGGGAUUUCAAUGGAGUCCUUCCCAUCAGGCCUUAGCUCCAUCUGCCUCCUGUGCCACCUUUCUCUCAUCCUUACUGGUACCAACAGUGUGUGGGAAGUAUGGGGAAGGAGGCACCACCAGGUCCAGUUGGUGGGUGGGUGGCUUUCAGUUCCACUGGACAACACAGCACUGUGGUUUGCUGUUGAGAUGCAGAAGGAAAUCACAUAUUGUCAGUGGUGUUGUCUUUUACCUGAAUUCAUAGUCUCACCAUGUUACCCAGUUAGCUGGCUGCUCUUCAGUAUCCUA